rnacentral:snRNA from 1 species
AGAUGGGAGGGUGACCUACAUGUGACAUCUGUGACCUAAUUGAUGGCCAAGGUUAAUUCAACUGACAGAGCUGGUUAGGUAGGUGUUCCUUUCCUCCCACACUAUACCAUGUGUGCCCCUGCCAAAGCUGAUGCCUUGGUCAAAGAGUAUGACCUUCCCCAAUAGAGGAAAACCAUUCUUCUGUUGAAGGUAUACAAGCAGUUGAACUCUCAGCUAGAAUCUCCAAAAAAAAGUCUCAAAAUUGGAGGACUCAAACUUCCUGAUAUCAAAACUUACUACAAAGCUACAGUAAUCAAUAUAGUGUACACUGUCUUACAGAUGUA